rnacentral:rRNA from 1 species
UACGAAGGAUGCAAGCGUUAUCCGGAUUCAUUGGGUUUAAAGGGUGCGUAGGCGGGCUGAUAAGUCAGUGGUGAAAUCUCUCAGCUUAACUGAGAAACUGCCAUUGAUACUGUUAGUCUAGAGUAUAGAUGACGUUGGCGGAAUAUGACAUGUAGUGGUGAAAUACUUAGAUAUGUCAUAGAACACCGAUUGCGAAGGCAGCUAACGAAACUAUAACUGACGCUGAGGCACGAAAGUGCGGGGAUCAAACAGG